GAGUAAUGAAAUUUAGAGGCUAUCCCUCUAAAUGGCUAUAUAGGCCAAUCAUUUACUGUUACCAACUGGCAACAAUAUACGAGGAAAAGGAAGGAGAGGAGGACAUUGUUAUUGGAGAUGCAGAGGAUGAAGAGCCAGCGGACGCUGACCUCAUUCAAAAUGAAGAGAGAGUAACGGAUGUAGGGUGCGUUUGUGUUGCAAACCUGAGAAAGAGAAUACGAGGAUUUAUAAGACGCAUAAAUCGUAUAUUCCACCGAUGAGUAACCCCUAGGAUCUAGACUUUGUAAUAUCAAUAAACUCUUCUGAAAAAUUAAAAAAACAA